UGGGGAAUAUUGGACAAUGGGCGCAAGCCUGAUCCAGCCAUGCCGCGCGUGUGAAGAAGGCCUUUUGGUUGUAAAGCACUUUAAGCGAGGAGGAGGCUACUUGGAUUAAUACUCUAGGAUAGUGGACGUUACUCGCAGAAUAAGCACCGGCUAACUCUGUGCCAGCAGCCGCGGUAAUACAGAGGGUGCGAGCGUUAAUCGGAUUUACUGGGCGUAAAGCGUGCGUAGGCGGCUUUUUAAGUCGGAUGUGAAAUCCCUGAGCUUAACUUAGGAAUUGCAUUCGAUACUGGGAAGCUAGAGUAUGGGAGAGGAUGGUAGAAUUCCAGGUGUAGCGGUGAAAUGCGUAGAGAUCUGGAGGAAUACCGAUGGCGAAGGCAGCCAUCUGGCCUAAUACUGACGCUGAGGUACGAAAGCAUGGGGAGCAAACAGG
rnacentral:rRNA from 1 species